rnacentral:rRNA from 1 species
AGAACGAACGCUGGCGGCAGGCUUAACACAUGCAAGUCGAACGCUCGUAGCAAUACGGGAGUGGCAGACGGGUGAGUAACGCGUGGGAACAUACCCUCCGGUUCGGAAUAACUCAGGGAAACUUGGGCUAAUACCGGAUACGGCUGAGAGGCGAAAGAUUUAUCGCCGGAGGAUUGGCCCGCGUCCGAUUAGCUAGUUGGUGAGGUAACGGCUCACCAAGGCGACGAUCGGUAGCUGGUCUGAGAGGAUGAUCAGCCACAUUGGGACUGAGACACGGCCCAAACUCCUACGGGAGGCAGCAGUGGGGAAUAUUGGACAAUGGGCGCAAGCCUGAUCCAGCCAUGCCGCGUGAGUGAUGACGGCCUUAGGGUUGUAAAGCUCUUUCGCUCGGGACGAUAAUGACGGUACCGAGAUAAGAAGCCCGGCUAACUUCGUGCCAGCAGCCGC